GACGAACGCUGGCGGCGUGCUUAACACAUGCCAGUCGAACGGAAAGGCCCUGCUUUUGUGGGGUGCUCGAGUGGCGAACGGGUGAGUAACACGUGAGUAACCUGCCCUUGACUUUGGGAUAACUUCAGGAAACUGGGGCUAAUACCGGAUAGGAGCUCCUGCUGCAUGGUGUGGGUUGGAAAGUUUCGGCGGUUGUGGAUGGACUCGCGGCUUACCAGCUUGUUGGUGGGGUAGUGGCUUACCAAGGCUUUGACGGGUAGCCGGCCUGAGAGGGUGACCGGCCACAUUGGGACUGAGAUACGGACCAGACUGCUACGGGAGGCAGCAGUGGGGAAUAUUGCACAAUGGGCGGAAGCCUGAUGCAGCAACGCCGCGUGCGGGAUGACGGCCUUCGGGUUGUAAACCGCUUUCGCCUGUGACGAAGCGUGAGUGACGGUAAUGGGUAAAGAAGCACCGGCUAACUACGUG
rnacentral:rRNA from 1 species